GACAGAGGCCUCAAGCGUUAGGCGGAAUCACUGGGCUUAAAGCGUGUGUAGGCGGAUCGUUAAGUGUCUUGUGAAAUCCCACGGCUCACCCGUGGAACUGCUGGGCAUACUGGCGAUCUUGGGCCAACUAGGGGCAACUGGAACAAGCGGUGGAGCGGUGAAAUGCGUAGAUAUCGCUUGGAACGCCAAAGGUGAAAACAGGUUGCUGGGGUUGUGCCGACGCGU
rnacentral:rRNA from 1 species